rnacentral:lncRNA from 1 species
GUUGGGGUCACUAUGACCCCCAUAUUAAUAAAAUGGAGGUUAAAUCCUCCCACAUGCCCCUACUUGUGGGAGGAUUUAACCUCCCUUUUAUUAAUAUGGUGGGACCUAGCGGCGGGUGGGGACCUUAAUUAAAUAAAUAAUGUUGGGGACCUAAUGUCCCCCCAGGUCCCCACCUGGUCCCAUAGAAAUGGGAAGGUAUAUUAUCAGAUAGGUCAAAUGGUUUAUGUUCUUGUCCGGAACUGACGUUUCAUCCUUUGGUGCCAAUUGUGCCCUAGUGGCUGCCGCUUUCAAAAUAACUUUGGUCAGGGUGCAUCUGGAAGAUAUCAUGCAUUCAGCAGACUGUUUCAGGGAGUCAAUGUUUAGGGAAUUCUACUUUAACCCAAUCUGCAGUGCUUGCUCAGCUUUAAAUUUGCACUAUAUGAGCCUCCGUGUCUUAAAAUAAAAUUACAUGAUUUAGCUAUUUUGUGAUGGAAAAUCAUGAUUUUAUGAAAGACAAGGAGGUGAGUAUUGUCCUUUCUCUGCUUGUGUCUCUUGUCUUUGUCUCCCUCCCUUCUUGUUAGUUUGUUAUUGCUGGUUGUGUGGGAGAGGUUUUCACAAUGUGUCCUUGCAGUUUUACUGGAGCUGUAACUGCAUUUUGGCUCAUUCAUAUUUGCACGUUACUGUUAGUUUGCUUCUGGUGCCUGUUGCUCUGCUUUGGGUAUCCACUCUAUGGCUUGCUAUGUGCCUGUACACUAGGAUGCCUUUUUAUCUGUGCCAGUUCUUGAUGAUUAACUUUUAUUGUUUUCUCUCUCUCAGGUGUACUCAUUGGACCAAGUUUGUUUUCAAGUGUCUGGCUUCCUAUUUGAGCCUAGACCUAUGUUUUUUCCCUCAUCUUGCUCCUGUGAUUUGUUUUCUUAUUUUGUUCAGCGGGGACUCUUUGUUUUCUCCUGCUGCUCUUAAUUGUAUGGUUUGAAUUUGCUUCUGUUCAAAAAGAAAGGAGUUGUUUUUUGGGGUAUUAAAGCUUAAAUGGACUAGGGUCAAGGGGAGGGGUGUAUUUUUCUCUAUUUUGUCAAUGUUUUUUCUUUGCUUCUAUUGUAGUAAAGAAAGAGUUAAUGCACAUUACUCGCCUCCAUGUCUUUUAUAAAAUCAUGACUUUCUGUCAUGAAAUAGCAGAAUCAUGUAAUUAAGCCUCAGAGAAAAAGAUGUGGGUGCUGUUUUUCUGCCACACACUGCUCUGUUUCGAAUUGUUUUUAUCACUAGCAAAAUCUUUCGAAAAGAAUGUUUCAUUGUAAACUCCGUGCAAUGAGUAAAAGAUGUAAAAAAGCAAAAUGUAUACAUUUCAUACACUUUAUGUAGAUUGUUACACAAUACUUAAAAGAUUUCUCCAACAAAAAACAACAACAAACAUUAAUCCUGUUUUUCAGUUGUUUUAACCCUUAUAGUUAUAGUCCUUCCACUUUUAAAUUAAAAAUAAAAGAAGUCAAAAACUCACUUUCAAUAAUGUGCUGAAAACAGGUUGUUCCUGUUGCCUGCUGUGCCUUUACUUAUAUCAUCCUUCUCAGUUUGCAGUCCAAUG